rnacentral:rRNA from 1 species
UACAGGCUUAACACAUGCAAGUCGAGGGGCAGCAUGGUCUUAUCUUGCUAAGGCCGAUGGCGACCGGCGCACGGGUGAGUAACACGUAUCCAACCUGCCGUCUACUCUUGGACAGCCUUCUGAAAGGAAGAUUAAUACAAGAUGGCAUCAUGAGUCCGCAUGUUCACAUGAUUAAAGGUAUUCCGGUAGACGAUGGGGAUGCGUUCCAUUAGAUAGUAGGCGGGGUAACGGCCCACCUAGUCUUCGAUGGAUAGGGGUUCUGAGAGGAAGGUCCCCCACAUUGGAACUGAGACACGGUCCAAACUCCUACGGGAGGCAGCAGUGAGGAAUAUUGGUCAAUGGGCGAGAGCCUGAACCAGCCAAGUAGCGUGAAGGAUGACUGCCCUAUGGGUUGUAAACUUCUUUUAUAAAGGAAUAAAGUCGGGUAUGGAUACCCGUUUGCAUGUACUUUAUGAAUAAGGAUCGGCUAACUCCGUGCCAGCAGCCGCGGUAAUACGGAGGAUCCGAGCGUUAUCCGGAUUUAUUGGGUUUAAAGGGAGCGUAGAUGGAUGUUUAAGUCAGUUGUGAAAGUUUGCGGCUCAACCGUAAAAUUGCAGUUGAUACUGGAUAUCUUGAGUGCAGUUGAGGCAGGCGGAAUUCGUGGUGUAGCGGUGAAAUGCUUAGAUAUCACGAAGAACUCCGAUUGCGAAGGCAGCCUGCUAAGCUGCAACUGACAUUGAGGCUCGAAAGUGUGGGUAUCAAACAGGAUUAGAUACCCUGGUAGUCCACACGGUAAACGAUGAAUACUCGCUGUUUGCGAUAUACUGCAAGCGGCCAAGCGAAAGCGUUAAGUAUUCCACCUGGGGAGUACGCCGGCAACGGUGAAACUCAAAGGAAUUGACGGGGGCCCGCACAAGCGGAGGAACAUGUGGUUUAAUUCGAUGAUACGCGAGGAACCUUACCCGGGCUUAAAUUGCAGAUGAAUUACGGUGAAAGCCGUAAGCCGCAAGGCAUCUGUGAAGGUGCUGCAUGGUUGUCGUCAGCUCGUGCCGUGAGGUGUCGGCUUAAGUGCCAUAACGAGCGCAACCCUUGUUGUCAGUUACUAACAGGUUCCGCUGAGGACUCUGACAAGACUGCCAUCGUAAGAUGUGAGGAAGGUGGGGAUGACGUCAAAUCAGCACGGCCCUUACGUCCGGGGCUACACACGUGUUACAAUGGGGGGUACAGAGGGCCGCUACCACGCGAGUGGAUGCCAAUCCCCAAAACCUCUCUCAGUUCGGACUGGAGUCUGCAACCCGACUCCACGAAGCUGGAUUCGCUAGUAAUCGCGCGUCAGCCACGGCGCGGUGAAUACGUUCCCGGGCCUUGUACACACCGCCCGUCAAGCCAUGGGAGCCGGGGGUACCUGAAGUGCGUAACCGCGAGGAGCGCCCUAGGGUAAAACUGGUGACUGG